rnacentral:rRNA from 1 species
GGAAUAUUGCACAAUGGGGGGAACCCUGAUGCAGCCAUGCCGCGUGAAUGAAGAAGGCCUUCGGGUUGUAAAGUUCUUUCGGUGACGAGGAAGGUUGGUAUGUUAAUAGCAUAUCACAUUGACGUUAAUCACAGAAGAAGCACCGGCUAACUCCGUGCCAGCAGCAGCGGUAAUACGGGGGGUGCGAGCGUUAAUCGGAAUAGCUGGGCGUAAAGGGCACGCAGGCGGUGACUUAAGUGAGAUGUGAAAGCCCCGGGCUUAACCUGGGAAUUGCAUUUCAUACUGGGUCGCUAGAGUACUUUAGGGAGGGGUAGAAUUCCACGUGUAGCGGUGAAAUGCGUAGAGAUGUGGAGGAAUACCGAAGGCGAAGGCAGCCCCUUGGGAAUGUACUGACGCUCAUGUGCGAAAGCGUGGGUAGCAAAC